rnacentral:rRNA from 1 species
GAGUUUGAUCCUGGCUCAGAACGAACGCUGGCGGCGUGUUUUAAGCAUGCAAGUCGAACGAUAACCUUUUGGAGAUUGGCUUGCCAAACUCCGGUUUGGUGAAAGUGGCGAACGGGUGAGUAAUACGUGGGUAAUCUACCUUCGGAUGGGGGAUAGCACUAGGAAACUAGUGGUAAUACCGCAUAACAUGCAGAUGUCAUAAGACAUCCGCAUAAAAGGUGCCCUCUGCAUAUGGUGCUGUCUGAGGAUGAGCCCGCGCGCUAUUAGCUUGUUGGUAGGGUAAAGGCCUACCAAGGCUACGAUGGCUAGCCGGCCUGAGAGGGCGUACGGCCACAUUGGGACUGAGAUACGGCCCAGACUCCUACGGGAGGCAGCAGCUAAGAAUUUUCCGCAAUGGGCGAAAGCCUGACGGAGCGACGCCGCGUGGACGAUGAAGGCCUUCGGGUUGUAAAGUCCUUUUCUCAGGGAAGAAUAACAUUGUGAGUAACUGCAUAAUGGAUGACGGUACCUGAGGAAUAAGCCCCGGCUAAUAC